UAAAGAGUCCUGGCCAAUCAGAGGGUAUCUUUGAUGGCCAUUUGUUAAGGUAGCAGCUCCCUGCUAAGGGAGGGAUGCUGUGUUCAGUUCGUGGUCGCUUGCUGGCCUCAGAUCAGAGCUGGAGAGGCUACAUAUUUUGACAGCUCACAGAAUGGUUUUGCAGGCCCAAUCCUGAACCACAAUAACUUGGAAAUGCCGUUGGUUUUAAUGGCACAUUCAUUCAUUCAGUUCAUUCAUCGAUGCAACUGCCAGCUUCCAUUGCUGCUGAUCAAGGACCUUCAGAAAGGCUCAGAUAGGACCUAUGAACACACCUACCUGUUGGUUAAGAAGAUGGAUGUUCUGCAGGCAAAUGGGGGUUCAGUGAGAUGGAGGGCAGAGUCUGGGCCACAAUAAAAAUCAAAUCAACUGUGCAGGAGCCCUUAGUAUUAUUAUUGUGUAUAGAUUGGUUUUCAAAUGUAUAUUUAUUUAUUUAGUUA